rnacentral:lncRNA from 1 species
GAGUUCAAGGUAAAAAGAGUUUUGCCAUGACUGCUAAUAAAUCAAUAUUAGUACAUAGAUUACAUAGGUCAAUAGGUUUCAAUUCCAAGGCAGUAUUUACUGUUUAGGAUUUAUGACAUGAGAUGAUUGCUAUUCUGUUCUCCGGGGGACUAAACUCCACCAAGAGGUUCAUUCACUCAGGUAAUUUCGCUCGCCCACUGAUGCCACGUUGAAUUAAUCAUGAUUUUGACUUUCUUGUCUUGUUGUG